rnacentral:rRNA from 1 species
AUUGAACGCUGGCGGCAGGCCUAACACAUGCAAGUCGAACGAGUGGCGGACGGGUGAGUAAUGUCUGGGCAACUGCCUGAUGGAGGGGGAUAACUACUGGAAACGGUAGCUAAUACCGCAUACCAUCAGAUGUGCCCAUCUGGGAUUAGCUUGUUGGUGGGGUAACGGCUCACCAGGGCGACGAUCCCUAGCUGGUCUGAGCGGAUGACCAGCCAUAAUGGAACGGAGAAACGGUCCAGACUCCUACGGGAGGCAGCAGUGGGGAAUAUUGCACAAUGGGCGCAAGCCUGAUGCAGCCAUGCCGCGUGUAUGAAGAAGGCCUUCGGGUUGUAAAGUACUUUCAGCGGGGAGGCGUUACCCGCAGAAGAAGCACAGGCUAACUCCGUGCCAGCCGCCGCGGUAAUUC